GACCAUGUAACUCAGUUGGAAGAGCAUUGGGCUAGUAUUCCAAAGGUCGUAGGUUCGAAUCCCACUGUGGCCG